UCAAGAAACUUCCACAAUGGGCGAAAGCCUGAUGGAGCGACGUCGCGUGAUGGACGAAGUGCUUCGGCACGUAAACAUCUUUUAUGUGGGAUGAAAUUAUUGACAGUACCACAUGAAUAAGGGGCUCCUAACUCUGUGCCAGCAGGAGCGGUAAUACAGAGGCCCCAAGCGUUAUCCGGAAUCACUGGGCGUAAAGGGUGUCGAGGCGGUUGUAUUAGUCGUUCGUAAAAUCUACGAGCUUAACUUGUAGGCGGCGAACGAAACGGUACGACUUGAGGUUUGGAGAGGUGCGUGGAACUCACGGUGUAGGGGUGAAAUCCGUUGAUAUCGUGGGGAACACCAAACGCGAAGGCAGCGCACUGGCCAAAAUCUGACGCUCACACACGAAAGCUAGGGUAGCGAAGAGGAUUAGAUACCCUUGUAGUCCCUGAGCGGGCUGGCAAGGCGCAU
rnacentral:rRNA from 1 species